rnacentral:rRNA from 1 species
UGAGAAACGGCUACCACAUCCAAGGAAGGCAGCAGGCGCGCAAAUUACCCACUCCCGGCACGGGGAGGUAGUGACGAAAAAUAACGAUACGGGACUCAUCCGAGGCCCCGUAAUCGGAAUGAGUACACUUUAAAUCCUUUAACGAGGACCAAUUGGAGGGCAAGUCUGGUGCCAGCAGCCGCGGUAAUUCCAGCUCCAAUAGCGUAUAUUAAAGUUGUUGCGGUUAAAAAGCUCGUAGUUGAAUCUGUGUGCCACGCUGUUGGUUCACCGCUCGCGGUGUAACUGAUUGGCCAGUGGUACGUCCUACCGGUGGAUUUAGCCUCCCGAACCUUCGCGGUGAAGGGGGCGGUCCAGCUUCAAUCCCAGAGCGGUGCUCUUCACCGAGUGUCGUUGUGGGCCGGUACGUUUACUUUGAACAAAUUAGAGUGCUCAAAGCAGGCUUUUUCGCCUGAAUACUGCGUGCAUGGAAUAAUGGAAUAGGACCUCGGUUCUAUUUUGUUGGUUUUCGGAACCCCGAGGUAAUGAUUAAUAGGGACAGAUGGGGGCAUUCGUAUUGCGACGUUAGAGGUGAAAUUCUUGGAUCGUCGCAAGACGGACAGAAGCGAAAGCAUUUGCCAAAAAUGUUUUCAUUAAUCAAGAACGAAAGUUAGAGGUUCGAAGGCGAUCAAUACCGCCCUAGUUCUAACCAUAAACGAUGCCAGCUAGCGAUCCGCCGAAGUUCCUCCGAUGACUCGGGGGCAGCUUCCGGGAAACCAAAGCUUUUUGGGUUCCUGGGGAAGUAUGUUUUGUAAGCUGAAACUUAA